GCAUAUCAAUAAGCGGAGGAAAAGAAACCAACAGGGAUUGCCUCAGUAACGGCGAGUGAAGCGGCAAAAGCUCAAAUUUGAAAUCUGGCUCUUUCAGGGUCCGAGUUGUAAUUUGUAGAAGAUGCUUUGGGUGCGGCUCCGGUUUAAGUUCUUUGGAAUAUUACAUCAUAGAGGGUGAGAAUCCCGUAUGUGACCGGUUGCCUAUCUCGUGUAAAGCUCUUUCAACGAGUCGAGUUGUUUGGGAAUGCAGCUCAAAAUGGGUGGUAUAUUUCAUCUAAAGCUAAAUAUUGGCCAGAGACCGAUAGCGCACAAGUAGAGUGAUCGAAAGAUGAAAAGCACUUUGGAAAGAGAGUUAAACAGUACGUGAAAUUGUUGAAAGGGAAGCGCUUGCAACCAGACUUGCACGCAGUUGAUCAUCCGGGGUUCUCCCCGGGGCACUCUGCUGCGUUCAGGCCAGCAUCGGUUUUGGUGGUUGGAUAAAGGCCUUGGGAAUGUAGCUUCUUUCGGGGAGUGUUAUAGCCCAAGGUGCAAUGCAGCCUACCGGGACCGAGGACCGCGCUUCGGCUAGGAUGCUGGCGUAAUGGUUGCAAGCGGCCCGUCUUGAAACACGGACCAAGGAGUCUAACAUCUAUGCAUGUUUGGG
rnacentral:rRNA from 2 species